rnacentral:rRNA from 1 species
UACGGGGGGAGCAAGCGUUGUUCGGAUUUACUGGGCGUAAAGGGCGCGUAGGCGGUAGCACAAGUCAGUUGUGAAAUCUCCGGGCUUAACUCGGAAAGGUCAACUGAUACUGUGCGACUAGAGUGCAGAAGGGGCAACUGGAAUUCUCGGUGUAGCGGUGAAAUGCGUAGAUAUCGAGAGGAACACCUGCGGCGAAGGCGGGUUGCUGGGCUGACACUGACACUGAGAGACGAAAGCUAGGGGAGCGAAUGGG